rnacentral:rRNA from 1 species
GAUAAACGCUGGCGGCGUGCAUGAGACAUGCAAGUCGAACGAACGAGCUUGCUCGUUAGUGGCGGACGGCUGAGUAACGCGUAGGUGACCUGCCCCGAAGUGGGGGAUAACUGCCCGAAAGGGUGGCUAAUACCGCAUGUGGCGACACUUUCAUUGGUGUCAUCAAAGCCGCGAGGCGCUUCGGGAGGGGCCUGCGUCCGAUUAGCUCGUUGGUGGGGUAAUGGCUCACCAAGGCGACGAUCGGUAGGUGGUCUGAGAGGACGAUCACCCAGACGGGGACUGAGACACGGCCCAGACUCCGACGGGAGGCAGCAGUCGGGAAUUUUGCUCAAUGGGCGCAAGCCUGAAGCAGCAACGCCGCGUGCGGGAUGAAGGCCUUCGGGUUGUAAACCGCUUUUAUCAGGGACGAUGAUGACGGUACCUGAUGAAUAAGUCACGGCUAACUACGUGCCAGCCGCCGCGGUAAUAC